rnacentral:sRNA from 12 species
GGGGAAGGGUGAGAACCUUCGAUUAAGGUUCGACUCGAGCGAAAGCGAGAGAACGUUGCCAACGGCAACGGCCCGUAGGGUGAGGAGCGAAGCGACGAAUAAUCCUUCCCCCACCACCA